rnacentral:lncRNA from 1 species
CACCAAACCAACCAAACCAACGCCACCUAAGGGUCUAAACAAACCAACGAAACCUACAAAACCAACAAAGCCCACCAAACCAACGAACAACGUAUUCCCACGGCCUCCCUAUCCUCUUCCUCCUCUGUUUCCCCCAGUGCCGGUCGUGCAAAUGCCCAAAGGUCCGUGGAAAGGAGUCUACCUCGUCUACCCGCCUGUCGACCUUCGACUGGCCCCUACGAGAGUCAAGUGGGAUACGUUGUAAAGAGUUCUCGAGAAGGAGAAACUGUUUCACAACAAAUGACAUCAGGAAGACAUUAAACUGCGUAGACCAAACUGUGUGGGGCUACAAUGUGGCAAAAACAAAAA